rnacentral:lncRNA from 1 species
GUGGAGGAGGAGGCGGCAUUCCUUGGGGAAUAGGAGGAGGCAGAACCAUAGACAUUCCGGGCUGGGACAUCGGGAGGGCAACAAAGGGUCGAGGUGCUCCCAAAGGUGUAAACUGUGAUCCAGGAGGUGGUGCAAUAGGAUGGCCAUGCGAAUUCAUGGCCAUUGAUGGAGGCAUUGGUGGACGAUUUACCAUGAGAUUUUGCUGACCUAGCAUCUGUGGGAUGGGAGGAGGUGGGGGCCGAACCUGAGGAAUCAUGUUAACCAUAGGAGGUCGAGGUGGAGGCGGAGCAGCAACCCCAGCACUGGCGGAGGUGGAAUACUGGACUGUAUUAGGAGGCCUAGGAAUAUUCAGCGCAAGCCCAGGAGGUGGAGGUAGUGGCCUAACAGAUGGAAAACCAGGCCUCGGAGGUGGAGGAGCCUGCGGACC